ACAGGGGUUGAUUUGACUAAAGACAACAUGGCACUUCAGAGGGUACGGGAAGCUGCUGAAAAGGCUAAAUGUGAACUCUCCUCAUCUGUGCAGAGGAAUCUAGAACAAUGGGAAACUUAGCUAUUUAUAUUAGGUACAGCUAUUAAAACAAGGUAGGAAUGAGGCUAGACCUUUAACUUCCCUAAGGCAUACUUUUCUAGCUACCUUCUGCCCUGUGUCUGGCACCUACAUCCUUGAUGAUUGUUCUCUUACCCAUUCUGGAAUUUUUUUUUUUU
rnacentral:ncRNA from 2 species